UCUCUCUCUCUCUCUCUAGAUACCUUCCACCUGGAAACUUCCUCUUCUCGCCGGGAAACAGCUCAUUUGUCCGGCGACAGCCUCCGUGUGCUCUCGGAAAACCGCUUGUUUUUCUUUGAGUUGAGACUCGCCGAUUUGUUUGGCUUCCAUUUCGUAUCGACAACGAUUCGGAUCUCUGAGUUUGACUCGGUUUGUUCCUGUUUGGCGCGUUUUCAGAAAAUGUGGGCUCUUUGCUUCUCUGUUUUGAAUUUUUGAUGCAUAAGAUCGUGAACUAGGGUUUGGAUUUUGGAUUUCUGGACUUGGUUUUGUAGUUAAAACUUCUUGAAAAACGGAGGCUGAUAGAGCGCGACUGCGGAAUGAAAUGGUGGAAGGAAGGGUCUGUUUGUCCAAAGAGGCUAGAAAUGGGUUAGAGUUUCUGAAGCGUAAAAGACUUCAGCGAAUGAAAUCAGAAACUGUCAGUGAAACUAUAGGCAUCACUGGUAUGAUGAGUAGAAGUGGAGGCGAUGCUUUAAGGGCUUCAGCCUCAUGUGGCAUUAGAUUACACAGAAAUGUGGAAUCAUUUGUUCCAUCCGAUGGUGCUCCAAGUGGGAAGGAUGCCUUUUCAAAGCGAAAGGUCGAUAAGUUUGAUACAAGUGAUUUGGAAUGGACUGAGAAAAUCACGGAAUGCCCUGUAUACCAUCCAACAAAGGAGGAGUUUGAGGAUCCUUUGGUGUAUUUACAGAAAAUAGCUCCAGAAGCUUUAAGAUAUGGUAUAUGCAAGAUCGUUUCCCCUUUGAGUGCUUCUGUUCCAGCUGGGGUUGUAUUGAUGCGGGAGAAAGCAGGAUUCAAGUUCACAACUAGAGUGCAACCCCUUCGUCUUGCUGAGUGGGAUACUGAUGACAGGGUCACCUUUUUCAUGAGUGGAAGGUGAGUUUUCUUACUUCAAAGUAAAUAUAGUUGUUGACAAUGUUCUCUCCGGUUUAAAAUGUGGGUGUACUUUUCAGAAACUAUACGUUUCGUGAUUUUGAGAAAAUGGCGAACAAGAUUUUUUCCCGUAGAUACUGCAGUGCCAGUUGUCUUCCUGAAACAUACUUGGAAAAAGAAUUUUGGCAUGAAAUUGCUUGUGGAAAGACAGAAACAGUUGAAUAUGCAUGCGAUGUUGAUGGUAGUGCCUUUUCAUCAUCUGUCAGUGAUCCACUUGGAAAUAGCAAAUGGAAUUUGAAGGUGUUGAUUUCACUUUUUCUUUUAUCAUUUCCUGCAUGUUUUUUUGAUGAAAUGACACCUGUUUAAUCUUAGCAUGAUGAAAAAAAUAAGGUAGGAAAAGUGAAUUCACCUGGGUGCUAGAACUAGUUGUAUGUGGUUAGUAGAACUACCUGUAGUUUUCUUCUUGCUUUGAUUUUUUGCAUGUUUUAUUAACUUGGAGGAGGAUCUAACAACCAUUCAAAUGUAAGAUGGCCUAUGCAUCAAAGUAUAUUUAAUUGCUGUGUGCAAUAUGAAAACUGCUGGGAGAAUAUUCCCUUGGAGGGUUGGAGGAGUUGGUUGGGUAAGCCCUCUCUUAACUCAAGCCUGACCAGAAAUCAGUGAGGGAUCCUUGCAAGUUUGACCUGGUUCAGGGUUUUGGCAGCUGUGGUAUAUGGGAUUCAGGUAGAACUCAUAUAUUUAUUGAUCAGGGAAUAAUGGUGUGUAAAGUGGAGAGAUGUUCUGUCCGGUAACAGAUAUACGAUAUAAUACAGCAUACUGGUCAUAUUGCAUAAGGUUUGACCAUAAUUGGGUAAUAGGCUUUUCUGAGAGGUGCUUUGUCCUGAGGAGGAAGGUAAAUAAUUUUAGCGAAACAGUGUUGUUUUCUUGUGGGGUAUUAUCCCAUUUAGAAUUACAUAAUUUGUCAGUUGUUUCUUCAUAUUAUCAUGAUGGUAACUCUCUCUCUCUUUCUCUCAGUUGUUAUUUCUGUAAAUAAAUAAUUGCUGUUGGGGAAAAUGUUACUCAUUAAAAGCAAUUUCCUGUUAUUAGUGAUUUCUUAGAGAUUUCCUUUGUUUUCUCUUUACGGCAUACAUGUCUAUUCUAUUUUAAUCUCAUCUCUGUUUGAUUUCAGAAUGUUUCACAGCUACCGAAGUCCAUUUUACGUCUUUUGGGUACAGCUAUUCCGGGGGUAACAGAUCCCAUGCUUUACAUAGGAAUGUUAUUUAGUAUGUUUGCUUGGCAUGUGGAAGAUCAUUAUUUAUAUAGUAUUAAUUACCAUCACUGUGGAGCGUCAAAAACAUGGUAUGGAGUUCCAGGUCAUGCAGCUUUAGAUUUUGAAAAAGUGGUCAGGGAACAUGUUUAUACCCAUGAUAUUCUAUCAACUGAUGGGGAGGAUGGAGCUUUUGAUGUGCUUUUGGGGAAAACAACUUUGUUUCCUCCAAAUAUAUUGUUAGAACAUGGUGUCCCUGUGUACAAGGCUGUGCAGAAGCCUGGGGAGUUUGUUAUCACCUUCCCUAGAGCUUAUCAUGCUGGAUUUAGCCAUGGUUUUAAUUGUGGUGAGGCUGUGAACUUUGCGAUUGGUGAUUGGUUUCCUAUGGGAGCUAUUGCUAGCUGGCGAUAUGCGAUUCUUAACAGGGUGCCUCUUCUUCCCCACGAAGAAUUACUUUGCAAAGAAGCUAUGAUUCUCUCUACGAGCCUGGAAUGUGAAGAUUCAGAUUAUUCAUCUGCAGACUUGAUUUCUCAUCAUUGCAUUAAGGUUUCUUUCAUCAAACUGAUGCGUUUCCUGCAUCAUGCUCGAUGGUCUCUGAUGAAAUCAAGGGCAUGUACUGGUCUUUUGCGAAAUACCUAUGGAACUAUUCUCUGCAGCUUAUGCAAACGGGACUGUUAUGUAUCUUUCCUUAACUGCAGCUGCGAAAUGCAUCCUGUGUGCCUUCGUCAUGAUUUUAAGUCACUUAACUUUUCAUGCGGAAGAAAUUAUACAUUAUUUUUGAGGGAGGAUAUUUCAGCCAUGGAAGCUGCAGCCAUGAGUUUUGAGAAGGAAGAUAGAGUGCUGGAGGAUAUCCAACAGCAAGUAAGAAGUGGGGAUGAUUUGUAUUCAUAUCCAGCAUCAAACAAAUUUCUGAGUGUUAUAGAGGAUGGAUAUUCUCCUUAUUGUGAGAUAAAUUUUGACUUUAACACGGAGACUGCUGUGACACUUCAGGAUCAGUCACAAUAUCGUAGCCAGUCCACAUUCGUAUGUGGCAUUGAAAAUGAUAGACCUGAAGUCUCAGAAACAUCUGUUGCUUGUUCUGCAUCUACACUCUGCCCUUCUGGAGAACUGAUUGAAAGCUCUUCAGCAGCCAACAAGAAGGUAAAGGGGUGGGCUGACUUUGCCAAUAGGAAUCCUGAAUCUACAAAGUUCUCUGAUGAAGAAUCACAGGACAUGCACGAGUCCGCUCUAUCCCCUUUGUCUCAUGAGAAAUGCGCAAGUAGUACCCAGCAUGGUGAUCUUCAGGAUUCAGAGGCUAGACCUAAUGCAGAUCAUCAAAGUGAUGAUUCUGAUUCAGAGAUAUUUAGGGUCAAGCGCCGUUCUUCUCUCAAAGUGGAAAAAAGAGUUGUGAAUGAUGAUGCUUCUUCAAAGAAUUUUGAAUUCCAGGUAUAGUACUGUAUUUUUGCCAUUUUAUAUUUGCUAUUUAUUUUAGUAAUAUAUGAUUUGGAUACUUGUCCACUGUGUGGGCAAGAUAGUAUUUUCCCCAGUUUUAUUUUUCAUAAAUGACCGUGUUUCAUUUUUUGUUUUUAUCAAUGCCAUUUUUGUCAAUUCAAAACCUUUAUUUUUCUAUUUGAGUUGCAAGCUCCAAUACAGUGAUCCAUCACAACUUGCUUACAUCCUUCAACCUCUAUUCAACAAUUCCUUUAUAUCUUGCUGUGGACACUCAAUAAUAAAAUCUUUGCCUUAUCCAUCCAAAAAAUGGAAAAUGGGGAAGCUGAAAAUGCUGUUGUUGACAGCACAAUGAAAAUGGGAAGGUUGAGUUGUAGAUAUGUGAGAAUCUAAUGUCAGAAGUGGGGUAAAAAGAUGAUGGAACAAAUUACUGGAGGAACAGAGGAGAAUAAGAAAAGAAAAGCAUUCAGCUGGCUUUGGAACGGGCAUUGGGCAUAAAACUGGAGCGUAGUGGUUAAGUUGCAUCUGAGAUAAAUUUUCUAGAGAGCAAGAUGGACAUUUGCUUUUAGUGAAUCAAUCGGAGAGCUUUUGGAUUUGUGUGUAUGGGUGUGUUUUUUUCUGGAAGUGAAAUUGGGCAUGAGGGUUGUCUUUUGCAUGGUCAUUUUAUUUUUGCUUUGGUUAUCUUGGAAAUGAAAUUUAUCGUACUUAUUUUUCUGGACAUUGAUUUAUUUUCUAAUUUAUUUUUAAAAUUUUAUCUUCUCUCGAAUUUGUUCAAUUAAACAGGGGCUGAAACGAUUGAAGAAGCUUCAGUUUGAAAGAAGAUAUGGUCAAACAAUGCCAACAGAAUGCAGCCGAACUGAUGACGAAUCAAAUCACAAUUCUUUAUCCACUUUACAUCGAAAGGAAGCUCCAGAGAGUACAUGGAGAGACAGGUUUGCCAGGGGAAGUAUCAUUCCCAUCUCUAUUAAGUUCAAAAAGUUGGUCAGUGAUGAAACAAUGAGCAGAGAACGAGAAAACCAGAGAUUGGAUAAGUUCCCGCAUGAGUUGGGGAAGACCAUGAGGGAACCGCCCCCUAUAGAGAUGGGGCCUAAGCGUCUUAAAGUCAGAGGCCCAUCAUUUCAAGGGUCAGAGAGCAGGUUAGAUUGACAUUUAUAUAACAUGAUGAUUGAUGAGGAAACUGGUUGGCCUGCCUCUGGAGCAUCAUCUAGAGCCUGACUCUGCUAACUAUAUUUUCUCUAAUGGGGUUCUAACAACACGGAAAAUCCAAAAGGUUGUGGGAGCAGCAGUAAAAAUUAACCAACUUUAGGAAAUUUUUAUUCUUUGUGCAGGCCUCGAAUUUGGGGCACUUUGCACGGAUGGUGAUUCUUCUGGUUCUCAAGCCAGGGUGUUUUUCCGUCUUUGGCAGGAGAACCUUCCUGCAAAAGCUGAAAGUAGAAUUUGGUUAGUAACUCUGUAAAUUUAUUUUUAUCAGCCAAAUUAAUUCUUGAGAGGAAAGGUGAGUAUUCCCAUUACUUCUCCAAGGUCAUUCUGCUGCUUCCUCUUAGGUGCUUUAUUCUUUUUGUAGCAAUCGACUACUUGAAUAAAUGCAGAGAAAUGCCUUUUUUUCUCUUCAAUAUCCAUCUUUAU
rnacentral:misc_RNA from 1 species